AGUGUGUUAAACGUACGCUCCCGAGAUUGAUAAUAGCGACAACAAGGCUGAAACGGGGAUCUGGCGGACUUGACCAUUCACAGGGAGGACCGGGUCUGAGCGGCGCCGGCCGGGGAAAUGGAUGGCACUCCUUCAGCACCGGGGGAGGAAAAUAUAGGCUUCGGAAAAACACAUGAACAAGGGCCUCAGGCUGUGGAUUCUUUUAAAGGCAUCCUCCCCAGGGAACUGGUUUCAGAUGGUGUCUUAGAGUAUAAAAUCCCAUCUAGCACCAUUUGAAAUCGGUGUUCUUGAGCGGGAACAGACUUCAGGAACGUCACGGUACAACCUCGUUCACAAGGAUUCCAGAAGUGUUCCAGUUUGUCGGGAUUGUUUAAAACAGUGGAACAGUUCUCCGUACAGCUCACGGCCCACUCAUCAUCGGUGCUGAGCGGAGUCCAGUCUUCUGACCCCCUCUGACCAAGGCUGACCGUUUUCCUCUGGUGUUCAGAGUUUCCAUCAUGUCUAGCACCAUUUGAAAUCGGUUACAAUGCGGAGGGACUAUCAACAACAACAUUUUGUUCCAGCUACAUGUUGACAUGAUCAGAAAGUACCAGAAGAUGGCAGCACUAGCCUGUGCCAACAUCCAUGCUGCUGCUCUCCCGAGCUGUAAUCCUUGAAGCACUGACAGACGUACAGUUGCAGCCCAUCAGCCAUGUUAACUGCAGGUUCCAGCUCUUGUAGUUUUCAUCCAGGAACAUGGAAUUAGAAAUUAUAUGGUCAAAGCCUUCAGUUGUUGAGGCAUGUGCAGCACUUAAAUUGGCAUUGUUGAUAUCUACUUCUAACCUUUAUACCACAGUAAAUGUUAUGUAUUUUUGAAUUGUGACAAAUAGUUUAAGGUCCGUUUUUUAAAGCCUGUCAAUUCUCCAACAACAGAGUGAAGCAAAUUUAAUUUAAUUAUAGCAUAACAGCCAUGUAAUAAAAGAUGAUAGCAUGUAAUCUUUUAAUACA
rnacentral:lncRNA from 1 species